rnacentral:rRNA from 1 species
AUUGAACGCUGGCGGCAGGCCUAACACAUGCAAGUCGAACGAGUGGCGGACGGGUGAGUAAUGUCUGGGAAACUGCCUGAUGGAGGGGGAUAACUACUGGAAACGGUAGCUAAUACCGCAUACCAUCAGAUGUGCCCAGAUGGGAUUAGCUAGUUGGUGGGGUAACGGCUCACCAAGGCGACGAUCCCUAGCUGGUCUGAGAGGAUGACAGGCCACACGGAAACGUGGACACGGUCCAGAUCCUUACGGUGGGCAGCAGUGGGGAAUAUUGCACAAUGGGGGCAAGCCUGAUGAACCCAGCCCGGGGGUAGGAAGAGGGCUUUGGGGUUGUAAAGUACUUUCAGCGGGGAGGCGUUCCCGGCAGAAGAAGCACCGGCUAACUCCGUGCCAGCAGCCGCGGUAAAC